rnacentral:rRNA from 1 species
UACGAAGGGGGCUAGCGUUGUUCGGAAUUACUGGGCGUAAAGCGCGUGUAGGCGGGUCUUUAAGUCAGGGGUGAAAUGCCAAGGCUCAACCUUGGAACUGCCUUUGAUACUGGAGAUCUUGAGUCCGGGAGAGGUGAGUGGAAUUGCGAGUGUAGAGGUGAAAUUCGUAGAUAUUCGCAAGAACACCAGUGGCGAAGGCGGCUCACUGGCCUGGAACUGACGCUGAGACGCGAAAGCGUGGGGAGCGAACCGG